CCUACGGGAGGCAGCAGUGGGGAAUCUUGCGCAAUGGGCGAAAGCCUGACGCAGCCAUGCCGCGUGAAUGAUGAAGGUCUUAGGAUUGUAAAAUUCUUUCACCGGGGACGAUAAUGACGGUACCCGGAGAAGAAGCCCCGGCUAACUUCGUGCCAGCAGCCGCGGUAAUACGAAGGGGGGCUAGCGUUGCUCGGAAUUACUGGGCGUAAAGGGAGCGUAGGCGGAUAGUUUAGUCAGAGGUGAAAGCCCAGGGCUCAACCUUGGAAUUGCCUUUGAUACUGGCUAUCUUGAGUAUGGGAGAGGUUAGCGGAACUCCGAGUGUAGAGGUGAAAUUCGUAGAUAUUCGGAAGAACACCAGUGGCGAAGGCGGCUAACUGGCCCAUUACUGACGCUGAGGCUCGAAAGCGUGGGGAGCAAACAGGAUUAGAUACCCUGGUAGUCCACGCCGUAAACGAUGAGUGCUAGUUGUCGGCAUGCAUGCAUGUCGGUGACGCAGCUACGACAUAAGACACUCCGCCGUCGGGGAGGUACGGUACGCGAAGAAUUAAACUAACAAUAGAAGUUAGACGGCGUGAGACGUGCCGAACGGACGACCGACGAGGGGAGGUAGG
rnacentral:rRNA from 1 species